rnacentral:tRNA from 2 species
GAGAAUUUAGUUUAAAAAAAACAUUAACUUGUCAAGUUAAAAUUAUUUAAUUAAUUGAUAAUUCUUA